rnacentral:rRNA from 1 species
GACGAACGCUGGCGGCGUGCUUAACACAUGCAAGUCGAACGGAAAGGCUCCAGCUUGCUGGAGUGCUCGAGUGGCGAACGGGUGAGUAACACGUGUGCAAUCUGCCCUGCACUCUGGGAUAAGCCUGGGAAACUGGGUCUAAUACCGGAUAGGACCUUUCUCCUCAUGGGGUUUGGUGGAAAGUUUUUCGGUUCAGGAUGAGCCCGCGGCCUUUCAGCUUGUUGGUGGGGUAAUGGCCUACCAAGGCGACGACGGGUAGCCGGCCUGAGAGGGUGAUCGGCCACAUUGGGACUGAGAUACGGCCCAGACUCCUACGGGAGGCAGCAGUGGGGAAUAUUGCACAAUGGGCGAAAGCCUGAUGCAGCGACGCCGCGUGAGGGAUGACGGCCUUCGGGUUGUAAACCUCUUUCAGUAGGGACGAAGCGCAAGUGACGGUACCUGCAGAAGAAGCACCGGCUAACUACGUG